CAGUCGCCGCGGUAAAACGUAGGGUGCAAGCGUUAAACGGAAUUACUGGGCGUAAAGCGUGCGCAGGCGGUUCGCUAAGACAGAUGUGAAAUCCCCGGGCUUAACCUGGGAACUGCAUUUGUGACUGGCGGGCUAGAGUGUGGCAGAGGGGGGUAGAAUUCCACGUGUAGCAGUGAAAUGCGUAGAGAUGUGGAGGAAUACCGAUGGCGAAGGCAGCCCCCAGGGCCAAUACUGACGCUCAUGCACGAAAGCGUGGGGAGCAAACAGGAUUAGAUACCCGCGUAGUCCCUGUCUCUUAUAC
rnacentral:rRNA from 1 species